AUAUAUAUACAGAUGAAUAUAUAUAUACUAAAAAAUAUAAUAAUAUGCAUAUGGCUAUUAGUAUAAACUGAAAUUUACAGAAUGGUAUGUGCUAUAGACAAUGUAUGUACUAUAAACAUAAUAUACAGGUAGAUAUCUAUGGUGAAAAUACAGCAUACAUUAAAAUAAAAUAAAAUAAAACACUAAUACAGACAAUUCACAUUAUUACAGUAAAGAUAUAAACUUAAGUAACCGCCGUUUUACACAUUGUGUAUAAAUGAAAUGAGGAGAGAAGAACGCAGCCCUAAAAUGGCGCAGUUACACGUGCAGCACGUGCGCGCUUAGAACACACGUGUGCUAAUAGCUAACACUUAGCUGGGGCUAAUAUUUGAACACAGAACAUGACAAAACUCAAUAAAACACAUACCUGGGAAAAACAGCACCAAAAGGUUUAUCAGCGUACAGUGCAUCAGUGUCGCAUUAGAAGUCUUAAGUGAAUAAACAGACAUUCGGAGUUUACAAGCAGGACAAUUAACACACUGUUCAUACUGAAACACAACUAGGAGUUGAUUGAGAAAAUAAGUAAACUUUUAUAUAGUUUAUCGUUCAAACUUGGGCUUGAAAAUGAUCCGAACUUAAUUAUUAAGACGGAGCAAAUCAUUGAUGCGACUUACCAGCAGGACGAGCUAUGAGACUGUGAUUAUUAAGCUCCGCCCCCCGAUAUCGUGCACAAGUGCUAGUGACAACAGCCAAUGGUGUGGAGUCCGAGCCAUUUGAAAUUGGGGAACACUUGGUGGAAGCGAGUGUGAAACUCUCUCUGCUUGAUGCGAUGCUUUCCCAGCUGCAUGAGGAGGGCCACAAGGUUCUGUUAUUCUCACAAAUGAUCAGGAUGUCGGAUAUUUUGCAGGACUACUGUCUGGAAUUUAAAAGCAAGAUCAUAUAAAAAACCUGGAAAAGUGUGGAAGCUGCUGCAGACUUCAAAAAUCUUAGUAUUUUUUGGCUUUUUGGAUUCUUCCUGAAUAUCUAUGAAAUAAUGUUUAUGCUGGAAUUUCCAGCUAUAUGUGAAAGGAUCUUUCAUCACUUAUUGUACCACCCUUUUUUUUUACUGAGAUCCAUCCCCUCUUCUUUAGUAUUCAUAAAGCAGUUUUUCAGUACAUAUUAAUUCACUGCUACUUAAUAUAAAGCAGCAAUUCAUUUUGUAACUGUUUACAAUUAGUAAUUAAUAGAUUUUUUAAAUAAAUUGCCCACUGCUAAUUAACAUUCAUAAGCUGUACUUAACAUAUUUUAGAAUCAAUUAUUGAGACCUGCCUACUGCUAAUGAUUAUUCAUGAGCAAGUUUUUUUUUAUAUUAAUUAAUAAAUUAACUCACCACUG